CACCCAACUCUCCCAAAACAGCAAACAAACAAAAAACAACCCCAACAAAACAAAACUUAAAAAUAAAUAAAUACGAAACAUGGCGGACGACGUAGAUCAGCAACAGACCACCAAUACCGUAGAGGAGCCCCUGGAUCUGAUCAGGCUCAGCUUGGAUGAGCGAAUAUAUGUGAAAGUGAGGAAUGACCGAGAGCUUCGAGGCCAGUUACAUGCAUAUGAUCAACAUUUAAACAUGAUCCUGGGAGAUGUAGAAGAAACUGUGACGACGAUAGAGAUUGAUGAGGAGACAUAUGAAGAGAUAUAUAAAUCCACAAAACGAAACAUCCCCAUGCUCUUUGUCCGGGGAGAUGGUGUUCUAGUUGCCCCUCCGUUGAGAGUUGGCUGAGAGAAAAGAUGGAUUCUGUGUAGGAAAGUGGAGACUUUGCGUCUUGAGAUGUACAGGACACUCUCAGAGAGAGAAGCUCACAUGCAUUCUGAGAGUCAGGAAUGACCCGACGAUCCUUCUACCCUCAAAGAAGUUCAUUUGCAAGCAACUUACAAGCUCUCCAGCUAAAUGAUCUGUCCCUUCCUCCAGCCCUCCAAUCAGUGUGACUGCCUUGCUCUUUUCAGGAGUUGGCUUGCCCAUUGUUCUUGCAGUUACUUUCAGGUUGUUUUUCUUUAAAUUAAAUUUGAUGUUUCCUCUUUUAUUACUUUAAAAAAAUAAAAAUAAAUAAAUAAAUAAAUACUAUUUUAAGAAAAUUACUGUUGCCUGUUGAAGAUUUUAUGUGAGCUGAAGUGCUGUACCCUUCUGAGGCUCACCUCUUCCUCUGGGUAGAGUAUUUGUACACAGCUGUACAUUUCCCCAAACAUCUGCCUCUUCCCUCUUAAUCCUUUGAUCCCCUAAUUCCAUCCUGGUUAAAGGUGGAAGGGAAUGACUUUUUUUUUCUUUACAAGAUGUUCCGUUUUUCUCCUCUCCUUCUGCCUAGUUAGUUCAUGCC